GGGGGCGUGGGGUAGCUUGGUUAUCCUUCCGGCCUUGGGAGCCGGAGAUCGGAGGUUCAAAUCCUCCCGCCCUCA
rnacentral:tRNA from 1 species